rnacentral:lncRNA from 1 species
CUGGCUCUGCACGCACUGACGUGCAGCGGCUGUGUGAAGAGGUUGACUCGCUGUCUUCACAGCUAGCCGAGCUCUGCACCCGCGGCCACGGUGACACGCCACAGGCCCAGGCCAUCGCCAGGGCGCUGUCAGGCAAGCUGCAGCAGCUCAAGACGAAGAUCCAGAAGGCGGUGGUCGACCGCAUGGUCGAGGACUUCGCUGACAUCGCCACGCCCCUCAAGCUCUUCACCGACGCCACCCUCGCUCCUGAAGACACCCCCGGGCGGACACAGACCUUCGACGAACGCGCCCGCAACCUGACCGCCUUUAGCGGCCGUGCGGCCAAGACCGCGCGCAUGGUGGCCGCCGGCAGCAGCGGUGGACACAAGA